UAUCUUUUGUAGUUGUUUUGUGUCCCUGUGUGGUCGUGUUUUGUAUCUUUUGCAGUUGUUUUGUGUCUCUUUGUAGAUGUUUCGUAUCUCUGCAGUAUUUCUGUGUCUCUUUGGAACUUAAAUGCUUUGUCUGCAGUAUUUCCGUCACACUGUAGUUGUUUUAUGUCUCUGUGUGGUCGUGUUUUGUAUCUUUGUAGUAAUUGUGCAUCUCUAAGAUGUCUUUCUGUCUCUUCUUGUAGUAAUUUUGUGUCUCUUUGUAGUCGUUUGACUUUCAGGGGGCCCUUGAGAGGCCCCUGGGCCUGUGCUCGGUAGCACGGUUCAGUAAUCCUUCCUGUCUACAUGCCCUGUCAGACUGUUAGACUGUGCUUUGGAGUGAGUGAUCUUCUUUGUUUGCACAUGCAUCUGAUGACCUAAUACAUGACAAACAGGUUUAACGGCUGCUUGAUAAUAAGUUUUCUUAUAAACUACUUUUCCUGUUAAGAAAGGAUGAAGAGAUACGAGCACAGAGAGAAAGAUCAUGAACAACAGUGAGCUGGUGGAGAAAAAAUAAAUAAUGGGAAGUGAACCUAUUGAACCUGGUUUGAAGGAAAAAUCCAUCCAUCGCCAAACGCUUAUCCUGCGUACAGGGUCGCAGGGGGCUGGAGCCAAUCCCAGCUGACGUCAAGCGAAAGAAGGAAAAAUGUGGUUCAAAAUACUACUGUGGAAACCCAUAAACUCCAGCUCCUGGCUCGUUUCUGGAAAGCAGUUGUGUUUCUGUAAGGGGAGGGGAGGUGUAGUAACUCACUGCAGAGGAAUGUGACUGAAGCAAGCUCCAGGAGACCAGUGUGUAGCUGAGAGAAAAAAAGAAGCUUAUUCUUGAGAAACACAAUAACCUUUGUUUUGUAACUGCUGAGGGUGAAAGCUGAACUGCUGAUGUGUUUUUGUUUGAUCGGUGUCUUGCAAUGUCUUGGCUUUCAUCCAGUACAGUUGCAGGAAGUGACUCACAUGGUCUUUGUGGUGUUACAUGUGCAGACAGGUUGCGAUGAGGUGUGAAAGGACGUUCAUGCCAACUUCAUGCAACGAUUAGUCAGGUAAACAUCAGUAUUUGGACCCUCAACAAACAGUCCAGUCCUCCUCGCACCAUCUUGGCUAAGGUAAAAGAAAAGCAGAGGAAUAUCUUGAAGCUGUUUCGCAUCAUGGUUUAAGUUCUGAAGCCGCCUACUCUGCCAGGUUGUCCAGCUGCUGGUAGGCAGGCGGCUGGUCGAUGAACAUCACUGGUACAAACAGCGGCAUGUUCGGCCUGUCGGAGGUGUUGUACAUCUGGUAGAUCAUCAGUGAAGACAGCACCGAGCCCAGCAGCUGCAGGGAAACACACUUAAGAGUUAAUUUUGACACUUUCACUUGCAAGCAUGCUUGCUAAUCCUCUUUCUACAGAGUCAGAUUAGUUUAAUCUCCAGUACAAAGUAAAGUCUUGGGUGUGUUCAGCCUAAAGACUGAAAGCACAGGGAAACUGCUGGUGUAGCUUUGUUAAAAAGGGAAAACAAGUCCAAGUCUGUCUGAUUUACAUGUUGUGUCCAGGGCUGCAGCCAGGGUUUAGAAAUGAGCCCAGACCUUUUGUUUCUUUUAAUAGAGCUUAUUUAUAGCAAUUCAUACCAAAAUGCAUACAAAAAAGGAUUAGAGUUUUCUUUAAUGAUCAGAGAGGCCGCUGUCAGUCAUUUAAACCAGUGGUUCUCAAAGUGGGGAUCCCCAUGGGUCUUUUUACUAUAAUUCCAUUCAUUAGUAACUCAAUGACAGAAUGUAUGACUAUUUUGGUCAUGAGUUUCAUAUAUUUUCAUUAAUUAAACAUCUAAAAACCCAAUAUCCUAUUUUAAUUUGUGUCCGUUAAGGGUUCCUUGAUGUGAAAACGUUUUCACGGCACGGUUAUGUCACAGCAAAUAUCAUGGGACAUAGUAAACGUGACAGAGGAAACUCUUCAGAGGAAACAGAAUUCAACUUCUAUAAUCCACGUUCAGACGCUCUGACGGAGCUCAGGAUUGAUCAGGAGGACGGCUGCUUUACUCAGAACAGUUUCACUGGAUGAACCUGGACUGUGUGAGAGACCUUUUGAAUGUGGAGAAGAACAUGAAUUAACAUUAGACCCUGACUGAUCCUGGGGCGUGUCAGGAGAUUUAGAUAUGAUGUUAUGUUGCUGUACCUUGUGUGUAAAUGCACACUGUGUCUCGCUUCACCUUAUUUCACACAUGUUUUUUAUUAGAAUUUUUCUUGAUAAGAUCUAGCCUAUUUGUAAAGACUCCGGGCCUCUGUGACCUCAUAGCUGGUUACGGCCAUGGGCGUAUCCUGUUUGUUGAAUGGUGUGACAAAUGGAUAUUGUGGUUGAAGCUUCUCGGCUAUCAGGACACCACAUGUAGAUAAAAGAUGUGGUUUUAUUUUUAUUUUGGAAUUAGACGUCAUUCGACACCACAACAACUACUGGAUCGUUGCCUCUAAUGCCGGCCGCAUACCAGAGGAUAAAUGGGCCAAGUUUGGGUUUGACUCGCCCCUUCCCACAGAUUAUUGGCCCAAAAGAUCCUGUAGUGUGAGCGAUAUAAUCUUAAAAUCACCGACUGGAUCACCGGCUCCCUGAUUUUGAAUCGUAGUAUGGGUGCUAUUGAUAAGAUUACCGUAAAACAUUGAUUAAUAGCCCAGGCUUUUAUUUGCUAAAAUCACUGAAUUGACCCUGCCUAUAUUUGGGUCUUUAAUUUCUUUUGCACAAAACUAAAUGGGCUACUGUGAAAACAGUUUAUUUAUUUCAAAGAGUAUGAAUAUUACUUGUAUUAAAAAUAUCUAAAAUAAUAACAAAUACACUAAUUCAUUUGAUCUAGCUCCGAGAGACGGCUUAUGCGCUUUUAAUUUGUAGGCAGCAACGUAAGGACAAAAACAACAGGGUGCAGGAUGAGAGAAGUUAGCAGACAGAGAGCGACGGACUUCACGUGACAGGAUUCACAACUUGGAUUCAUUUUUCUGAAAAGCUGAUUCUUUUGACAGACUAAGGGAAGAUAAAUAAUCACGGAACGGACACAUUUAGAUUUAACGAGCGCUUCAAAGGUAACAGGAGUCGGCACUUUUUUUUCUUUUCUUCUCUUGUCCCACAGCAGGCCAGGAAAGGAGGGAGGCGGCUAUCUGGGACUCUGCUAUUAAUUGAAGUUUUACAGUAUGUCUCUAAACUCCUCACGCUAUGGGUGUGAAUCAGAAACCUGUAACAUCCAAUGAGGGCGAGCUGACAGGGAAGCGUCACCAGCGUGUUGUGUAUCUGCUCGUGCUAUAAAAUGUAUAAACCCACGUGGUGAUUUCUUUUUCUCAGCCUCGAGUUCAUCCACAGUUUGAUUCUCUUUUUUUGUUUUUGCAACCAGCUGACGACGACAGUCUGCCUCCAUGUUUGUUUCUGUCCUAAGUCAUUUUUGAUCCCUGGGACCGCCACUCUGAAACCGUUUGGUAUAAACGCCGAGUGUGGGGUCCUGCGCCUGAACUGAAUCAUCUGGUGUUCUUAAGAUUAAAAUCUUAAAAAUGU